rnacentral:rRNA from 1 species
GACGAACGCUGGCGGCGUGCCUAAUACAUGCAAGUAGAACGCUGAAGGAGGAGCUUGCUUCUCUGGAUGAGUUGCGAACGGGUGAGUAACGCGUAGGUAACCUGCCUGGUAGCGGGGGAUAACUAUUGGAAACGAUAGCUAAUACCGCAUAAUAGUAGAUGUUGCAUGACAUUUGCUUAAAAGGUGCAAUUGCAUCACUACCAGAUGGACCUGCGUUGUAUUAGCUAGUUGGUGAGGUAACGGCUCACCAAGGCGACGAUACAUAGCCGACCUGAGAGGGUGAUCGGCCACACUGGGACUGAGACACGGCCCAGACUCCUACGGGGGGCAGCAGUAGGGAAUCUUCGGCAAUGGACGGAAGUCUGACCGAGCAACGCCGCGUGAGUGAAGAAGGGUUUCGGAUCGUAAAGCUCUGUUGUAAGAGAAGAACGAGUGUGAGAGUGGAAAGUUCACACUGUGACGGUAUCUUACCAGAAAGGGACGGCUAACUACGUG